GACGAACGCUGGCGGCGUGCCUAAUACAUGCAAGUCGAACGCAGGGGGGGCGGGUGAGUAACACGUGGGUAACCUCCCAUCAGACGGGAUAACACUUGGAUACAGGUGCUAAACCGAUACUGAUGUAUCGACCCGCGGUGCAUUAGCUAGUUGGUGAGGUAACGGCUCACCAAGGCCACGAUGCAUAGACGGCCUGAGAGGGUGAGCGGCCACACUGGGACUGAGACACGGCCCAGACUCCUACGGGAGGCAGCAGUGGGGAAUCUUGGGCAAUGGGCGAAAGUCUGACCGAGCAACGCCGCGUGAGUGAAGAAGGUUUUCGGAUCGUAAAGUACUGUUGUUAGAGAGGCGGUAUCUAACGAGAAAGCCACGGCUAACUACGUGCCAGCAGCCGCGGUAAUAC
rnacentral:rRNA from 1 species